AUGCCUGGCCCCAGACAGUGGCAGCGUGCGGAGGGGCAGAGGCUCUCCUGCUCACAUCCAUCCAUCCGCAAGCACAUCACAAGCUCGAGGAAUCCCUCUCCGGCGCGCCCACGCCGCGGCAGGCACUGCGGGCGUCCCAGCGUGUGCCGAGACGCCUUCCCAGCCCGCCCGCGAUCGCCGAGGAAGCGCCUGCGAGGCAGUAUUCCCCUGCGCUGGGGGGAGGGAAGAGCAGCGGUGGCUGUUAGCCAGGCAUUGCUUUCUGCUGGCAACCACCGCAUCCCCAUGGGCAGGGCUGAAUUACAAGCGCACGGCGCCGCUCCCCGGGCCCCAGCCCGGGUACCGACCCCUUCUGCACCUCAGCGCUCAGGUAAACAGGGCAGUCGCCCUCUGGACAAGCUGCCCGAGCAGGGCAUGCUCCCCGCACCGCGCCUGGGAAGCCUGGUGGGGCUGGCGGGCUCAGGAGACCGUGCUGCAUCAGCAGCCGAGCGCAGACAGCAUGCAGCUCACCUUCCACCUGCAGGGACUGCUGCGGGGGGAGGGAGGGACGGAAGUGACUGGCAGCUGAGGGAAAAGAAGCCCGAGCAGGAAAAUCAGGGUUAUUCCCACCACUGUCUCCCUCCUGACCUUGGACAACCCUGUGCCUCAGUUUACCCGGGGAGAGCAGUCAGCAUCAAUGCCAGAAUGGGGGAGGAAGGAGGGUGGCCACCCGCAGUUAGGCAGAGACACCAAGGUCCCAAGGAACAAAGUCACCCCAAAAGCCUGGGGGCAGGAGCGAGAGCCAGGCACGGCCGAGGCACUGGAGGGGAAGAAAAGCAGGGAAGGGGGCGAGUCCUUUUGCAUUUCCCCUUGCCCACACAGGCAGAGGGCAGAGCCCGGCAGAGAAGGGCAAACUCCGCUGCUCCCCUCCGAGCAUCGGGGGCCGCUGCCUGCUGCCGCCCCCAGCCUUGGAGAAGGAAAGGGGAGAGAGCAACGCCGCGGGACGGUGCCCCCCGCUCAUCACUUCCCCCGAGGGGAGGGGCGGACGGGCCCGGAGGCUGCAGCGCUGCACCGCCGGCAGCCGCCCGCUACCGGCCGCCCCCCAAACUGGUGGCCACGCGUGGGGCGCCCCCGCAGCUCCCUCCGCAGGACGGCUUCCGAAAGGCGCAGGAGCCCCGCUGCAUCGCGCCGCGGCCGCAACAGCUCGAGUCCUUCGCCCUCAUCCCCGCCGAGGAGGACGCAAACCCUGCGCGGAGCCGCAGCGCGCCCCACGCACCC
rnacentral:lncRNA from 1 species